rnacentral:rRNA from 1 species
AAAUUGAAGAGUUUGAUCAUGGCUCAGAUUGAACGCUGGCGGCAGGCCUAACACAUGCAAGUCGAGCGGUAGCACAGAGAGCUUGCUCUCGGGUGACGAGCGGCGGACGGGUGAGUAAUGUCUGGGAAACUGCCUGAUGGAGGGGGAUAACUACUGGAAACGGUAGCUAAUACCGCAUAACGUCGCAAGACCAAAGUGGGGGACCUUCGGGCCUCAUGCCAUCAGAUGUGCCCAGAUGGGAUUAGCUAGUAGGUGGGGUAACGGCUCACCUAGGCGACGAUCCCUAGCUGGUCUGAGAGGAUGACCAGCCACACUGGAACUGAGACACGGUCCAGACUCCUACGGGAGGCAGCAGUGGGGAAUAUUGCACAAUGGGCGCAAGCCUGAUGCAGCCAUGCCGCGUGUGUGAAGAAGGCCUUCGGGUUGUAAAGCACUUUCAGCGGGGAGGAAGGCGUUAAGGUUAAUAACCUCAUCGAUUGACGUUACCCGCAGAAGAAGCACCGGCUAACUCCGUGCCAGCAGCCGCGGUAAUACGGAGGGUGCAAGCGUUAAUCGGAAUUACUGGGCGUAAAGCGCACGCAGGCGGUCUGUCAAGUCGGAUGUGAAAUCCCCGGGCUCAACCUGGGAACUGCAUUCGAAACUGGCAGGCUAGAGUCUUGUAGAGGGGGGUAGAAUUCCAGGUGUAGCGGUGAAAUGCGUAGAGAUCUGGAGGAAUACCGGUGGCGAAGGCGGCCCCCUGGACAAAGACUGACGCUCAGGUGCGAAAGCGUGGGGAGCAAACAGGAUUAGAUACCCUGGUAGUCCACGCCGUAAACGAUGUCGAUUUGGAGGUUGUGCCCUUGAGGCGUGGCUUCCGGAGCUAACGCGUUAAAUCGACCGCCUGGGGAGUACGGCCGCAAGGUUAAAACUCAAAUGAAUUGACGGGGGCCCGCACAAGCGGUGGAGCAUGUGGUUUAAUUCGAUGCAACGCGAAGAACCUUACCUGGUCUUGACAUCCACAGAACUUUCCAGAGAUGGAUUGGUGCCUUCGGGAACUGUGAGACAGGUGCUGCAUGGCUGUCGUCAGCUCGUGUUGUGAAAUGUUGGGUUAAGUCCCGCAACGAGCGCAACCCUUAUCCUUUGUUGCCAGCGGUUCGGCCGGGAACUCAAAGGAGACUGCCAGUGAUAAACUGGAGGAAGGUGGGGAUGACGUCAAGUCAUCAUGGCCCUUACGACCAGGGCUACACACGUGCUACAAUGGCAUAUACAAAGAGAAGCGACCUCGCGAGAGCAAGCGGACCUCAUAAAGUAUGUCGUAGUCCGGAUUGGAGUCUGCAACUCGACUCCAUGAAGUCGGAAUCGCUAGUAAUCGUAGAUCAGAAUGCUACGGUGAAUACGUUCCCGGGCCUUGUACACACCGCCCGUCACACCAUGGGAGUGGGUUGCAAAAGAAGUAGGUAGCUUAACCUUCGGGAGGGCGCUUACCACUUUGUGAUUCAUGACUGGGGUGAAGUCGUAACAAGGUAACCGUAGGGGAACCUGCGGUUGGAUCACCUCCUUACCUUAAAGAA